AGUUGGGAAUAUUGGACAAUGGGGGUAACCCUGAUCCAGCAAUCCCGCGUGAGUGACGAAGGCCUUCGGGUCGUAAAGCUCUUUUAGUUGGGAAGAAGGGAAACUUGACUGUACCAACAGAAAAAGCACCGGCUAACUCUGUGCCAGCAGCCGCGGUAAUACAGAGGGUGCAAGCGUUGCUCGGAAUUAUUGGGCGUAAAGCGCGUGUAGGCGGUUUACUAAGUCUGGUGUGAAAGCCCGGGGCUCAACCCCGGAAGUGCACUGGAUACUGGUAAACUAGAGGACGAGAGAGGAUGGUGGAAUUCCUGGUGUAGGGGUGAAAUCCGUAGAUAUCAGGAGGAACAUCGGUGGCGAAGGCGGCCAUCUGGCUCGUUUCUGACGCUCAGACGCGAAAGCGUGGGUAGCAAACAGGAUUAGAUACCCUGGUAGUCCACGCCCUAAACGAUGAACACUAGUUGUUGGGAUACCUAAUUGUCUCAGUAACGUAGCUCACGCGUUAAGUGUUCCGCCUGGGGAUUACGGUCGCAAGAUUGAAACUCAAAGGAAUUGACG
rnacentral:rRNA from 1 species